UCGGGUAUGGUGUAACGGCUAACAUUGCCGCCUCUCAACCAGUGAUCGCGGCAGCUCGGGGUUCGAUUCCCCGUACCCGAA